rnacentral:lncRNA from 1 species
AACAACAUGGAAUGAGUCUUACUAGCUCCUUUGACAUCAUGCAUCAUGUGUAUUGUAUACUGGACUUCUCUCUCUUGUCUACCCAAGGGAAUAGUUAAUGAAGAUUAGGUUGGUUUAACAACUAGCGUAGUCACAAUAGUGGAUGCAAAACCAACAACUAAUUAACAUAGCCAUGAAAGUUGAACCUUCGAGCAGGGUGUCAAGUGGUACAUCGGAGAGAAAUUCGAUGAUGUCCUUCUCUAUGGUGCAUGCAGUCUCUAGCAUUUCCACACUGAUACAUGUGGCUAUAAAAAAGAAACAUGAAAUUAAUAUAAGAUGGUUUAGAUGCAAAUGACAAAGAAAUGUAGAAAAUGGUCAAGCAAAGCCAUACAACAAGGCAUAUAAUGACUUUUUUGCUUUCUCCAUGUUGGUCUAUCACCAAAAAGAGUUCAUCUUGAGAAUAGUUAUAUGGUAUCAACUGCAUGUCCCUAUGUUAGGAGAGAUAUGAGUUGUCAUGACCAACGAAGAUUAUCCUCGCAAGAAAGAUUUUCCCAAGGUUAAUGAGAUAAUUAUUAACCGAUGGAACAAAAUGAACAUCCCACUUCAUUGUCUAUCUUUUGCACUAUGCCCAAAGUUCUAUUAUAUUGAGUAUCUAAAAACACCUGCUCCUAGAGGCAUUCCUAGAAAAGCUCCAAAUCAAGACCAGGAGGUCAUGAGAGGGGUGGUAGAAGCUUUUUGUAAAAUAGCAGAUGAUGAUGUUGAACGAAAGAUAUUGCAAGAACAAUUUACUGCAUUUCACAUGAAAAAAGGAGUGUAUGCGUUGGUGGUUGUUCAGACUGACGCAACCAUAGUGACACCCAUUGAUUGGUGGUCUAACUAUGGCUUGGAGACUCCAAAUUGAGCAGAAGUUGCUUUGAAGGUUCUAUCUCACCCAAUCAAUAGCUCCUCGACUAAAAGAAGUUGGAGUACAUAUUCAUACGCAUGGAAUGUGAAGAGAAACAAGCUAAAUUAAAAAAAUAAAUUGGUUUAUGUCCACUCCAACAUUCGUCUUCAGUACAAGAUGUCCCUAACACCAAAUGGGAUGCAGAUCUAGAUGAUGCCUCCUUGGAGGAAUCAAGAUUGAAGCUUGAGCAAUUGUAUUGGAAGGAUUUGGAGAAGGAUGUGAUCAAUCAUCCUCUAGCUAAUGAACUUGGCUCAUUAUCAAAGAAGAUCACCAAGAACAAGAAUAAUUUAUUGGUAUGCCACUAUCCUAUAAUUAAAAUUUUAAACUAUGUAGUCUGUAGUAUAAGCUUUCACACAAACACUAUACUAAAAUACUGAAUCGGUGACUAUUAUUUGCAAGAGUGUAGGACAGACGGAGAGGAGCAGUGGACUACAGGAGCUAGGACUGCAGAAAUGUUUAGGAGAAUGAGCAUGGCAGCCCGCUGUCUUGGAUUUUUAGUCAUCUUUUCUUUGUUUAAUAAAUAAAGUUAGUGGUGAGAGUGUGAGAUAGAGAGUCAGAGUCAUAAACUAUUUGUAGAUUUAUCAUUUUGCUUUGUUAAAUUGGAUCAUGUAAUGAGUGAUUUAGUUAUGUACUUCAGUUUGCAUUGGACAUGUUUGUUGGUGAUUUAGUUAUUCCAUAAGUCAUAUACACAUAUAUUCAUGUGCCUUGGUUGCUUACGCCUUGUUUAGUUCACUCCAAAAACCAAAAAAAUUUCAAGAUUCUCUGUCACAUCGAAUCUUGCGGCACAUGCAUUAAGCACUAAAUAUAGAUGAAAAUAAAAACUAAUUACAUAGUUUACCUAUAAAUCAUGAGAUGAAUCUUUUAAGCCUAGUUACUCUAUAAUUGAAUAAUGUUUGUCAAAUAAAAACGAAAGUGUUACAAUCCCGAAAACCAAAAAGUUUUCGGAACUAAACAAGACCUUAGUAAUGUAUAAAUAUUGUAUUUAUGUAACAUAAAUCAAAGACCCAACUUACUCCAAAUCACAUACCUAUGCGACUCCUCAACUCAGGGUCAUCAACUUAGGUACCCUGAGUUCCCGACCAUCGUCUCUAGGCUUCGUGCCAGGUUCAUCGACUUAGGGCCACUGGGUUCACAACUCUCGACUCCAGUCUUCGUAUCAGGGUCAUCGACCAAAACCACUAGAGUUGUGACCCAUGACUCCAUACUUUGUACCAGAGACAUCAAACCAUAACAUUUGGAUUCACGUACCAAAUAUUUGGUUCUUGUCCCGUAGAGAUAUACCCCAUGUACCAUAUUUUUUUUAAAUUGUCGACCUGCGUCCUCUUGACCCCGUCCCUUGACUCGAUCGGCCCAUAAUGCUUGUGACUAUGAUCAAUGGGCACGACAAUUGCAAUGAUGGUGUAUCUACGUGCAUGCAUGAGUCAUGACUCAUGAGUGCGAUCGACACUAUAUAUCCUGCAGUGCGUUGCUUAAAUUGCAUGCAAAUCACUCAAUCAGAAACAACAUUGAUACGACGUCUAUUGAAUGGACGAAAUUUGCAUGGUUGCACAAUCAGUAGCCUAAAUAAUAUACAGUAUAGAAAUCUAAUAUGCUAAACAAACCACAUACUAGUAAUAACUAAAAGGCUUUUUACGAUGCUUAGAGGACUAGCAGCUCCACGCAGACAGAUUAAUCUCAGUUGCUGAUGUGGGAAAGAAAUUAAUUAAUGUAAUUAAUUUAUAGUAGGGGUAAUUUGGUAAUUGUAUGUGCAACCAUUACUUAGGCUAGAACUCUUUUUUGUCACAGGAACGCCAUGCAACAGAUCAACUCGCCGCUGUUGACUGCUCACUCAUGCAACCACACCAAUGCUUGCCCCUGGCCUGUUAUAGAGACUUGUUUGCAGCCACGUGGCUAGGGCUUGGUGCCACCCAAUAGACAAGGAUCAAUACCUCCCGGCGGACAGGGAUUGGUGCCGCCCACUUGUAGGGCCUCUUCGACAUUGUGCAUGUGUAGUCACUAUGGUGGCUUUGCAAUCUAUUUUGCAAACCUCCCACUACCCUUCGGAUCUAGGAGAAACAUGCUCGUCUCCAUUAGUUGGCAAUCAACAAUCGACCUCUGUUGCAUGUCUCAGAGACGAGUGAGGGAACUGCAAGACAAGGAGGCCCGCCAUGCGCAGCACUGCACUAGAGGUUCGUGAUUCGGCCACUCAUGUUGGGGUGGAUGUCUACUUGGUAAUGGCUGGCACGUGUCUACUCAGACCGGCGUUGGCUGGCGAUGGUGCAGACUAGUGUCGAGCGAAGGAGAGACAACACACUGGAGAUGAUGAGAAACACCAAAUGUAGUAUUUUACCCUUUGAAAUAAAUUUAGAACUAGUUUCUAGCCUCCAUAUUAUAGGUUUUAGCCCACGACUUUUCUCUUUAUUGUUUUUUAUCACUAUUAGAUCUAUUCAAAUAGAUGGGUAUAUUUUUUUCUAAUCACCGUAAAAUUUCUCAAUAACUAAUAAAAACAUACCUUCUCUACUAGGAAUCCAUAUCGUCGCCUGGCUCAUUAGCGGCCGUCCGGCGCGGCUGGCUGAGCGCAUUGCUGCCGGCAGCCGCCCUCCGCGUAGGAAGACCAGCGCUCAGAGGUGACUCCGUUGACUGAUGAGGACGCCGGUGGAUGCAGAGGCCGUGCAGGCGAUCUCGGUCAGAGACAGCCGUGGAGGACGCCGGCCGGUGUCGUUGCAGGCCGAGAGAGGAUGGGGAUGGCCCUUCCAUUGCCUGAUCUGCCCGCCACGCAAUCACCUUGUUAUUAAUAAAUAUAAGCACACAUAUAAUAAGGCAACAAAUCAAAUCAAGGCUGGUAUGGAAAGGCAUCAAUCAUGACAACCAUAGAUUGAACGAAGAUUACAAAACACGGCAACCACGGUUUGGUUGGGCAUGCGGUGCGGGCGAAAAAAGAAAAGGUGUGCGUUCCAUCCAAGCGUCAAGUUUCGGGUCCGCCCUUGUCCGUUGAGCGUGGUUUUGGUUCUGAGUUAUUCUAGUUUUUAUAUGUUUUGUUCUUUCCAAAAAUGUUAAAAACAACGAAUAAAAGCAACUAUGCUGGAAAAACCUUGAGUCUUUCCUAUAAAAUAAAGAUUUCCGUUAUCAAACUGUUUAGAAGUGAUUUUGAUUAAGAACAAAACUCAUCUUCAGGACAACUAUUGGGUUCGAACAUGUCGCUGCUGCAUAAGGAGGACGAAACAAGAAAGAACAUGAAAAAUUGUUACAAAUUUUGGGAGAUGGCCGAGAUCUUCGCUAAGUUUGGGUGAAGUUCUCAAAUAGAAUUGAAGCCUAGUUUUCUUUCUAUUUAGUUAUCUAGACUUUGGGGUUUUUUAUAUUAUAUCUCUCUAAUGUAUUUAGAUAUAAGCCUAAUAGCUCGUGGUUUGUAUUUGAUCAAUCUCUUAUCUAAAAUUCAAAAUUUGGUUUAGUCAAUGGUUCAACUAUUCAAAUCGAGAACUAAAAUAUGAAAUAGUUUAUUGUCCUGUCUAGUGUCUAGUCUAAAAAAAUGUGCCUCCAAGUUGUAUGCAUAAACCAAUGCCACAACUAACUUCGUGUUGUCAUCGGGGUCAGUCAACCCCUAUAAAAUUUGACAAACACUAUACAAACUUACUAUUAGGCCUUGUUUAGUUCACUCUGAAAUUCAAAAACUUUUCAAGAUUCUCCGUCACAUCAAAUCUUGUGACACAUGCAUGAAGCACUAAAUAUAAACGAAAACAAAAAUUAAUUGCACAAUUUAUCUCUAAUUUACGAGACGAAUCUUUUAAGCCUAGUUAGUCUAUAGUUGGAGAAUAAUUAUCAAAUACAAACGAAAGUGUUACAGUAUCAAAAUCUAAAAUCUUUUCAAUACUAAACAAGGCCUUAGCGAGUACAUUUUGGUGAUGAUUAUUGGAGCCGACCCUGGUGACUUCACUGUCGCUGUCGCUUUGCCUCUGCUAACUCCUUAGUCCUUAUCGAUUUGAAUCAAAUAAUUGAAUUACAGAUAUUUAUGCAUUCUCAAAGGAAGUUUUUUUUUUCUUGCGACAGCAUUCUCAAAGAAAGUUACC